CCAUUCUUGGGCUGUGACCAAACAAAAGGAGAGGUUUUCUUCUCAUGCCAAGAGGCAGGCAAGACAUGGAGAUCUCAAUAACAAAGUGACACUUUCAGUUUGAGAACAUUUCAGCUCCCUUCCCCUGUUCUCUUUGCCCCUUUCCUCACUAGCUCUUCACAAUCCUCAGACAUUUCAGGGAUAACUAAAAGGCAGCAAGCCUAGAAGAAGCACUACACCCAAUUGCCCAAAAGGGAAUUGCUGUGGAGAUGGAUGGAAUGACAUGACUAAGGUCACCCAAGGCCUGUGUCAGAGAAAGGAGCUGAACCUGGGGCUCUCCCAGCAGGACUGAGGAUUGCAGUAUAGGCUCUGGAUGUAAUUCAAGGAUUUCAUGGUUGAGAAAGGGCUCACUGCAAGUCUUGCCCUACCUCUGAAGCCAAUGAGAACAGCAGUUUUGUUCGCUCCAAUUUAUGACAAAAUUGAACGAAGUGGGUAACAAAAUAUAGCCCUGUCAGGCUCCUGUCUUCACGGAUAUAAAGAAAAAUGUGAAACUGUCAGGCACGCAAAUGUGCCAAACCCCAAGGAAAAUUAUUACAUUCUGCUUGACAUUUACUUUAAUUUUACAAAAUUCUGUAAUACCAUUAUAAAUAAUAAUAAUAAAAAGCAGCAUGGA
rnacentral:lncRNA from 14 species